rnacentral:rRNA from 1 species
AGAGUUUGAUCAUGGCUCAGAAUCAACGCUGGCGGCGCGCUUAACACAUGCAAGUCGAACGAGAAAGGGGAGCAAUCCCUGAGUAAAGUGGCGUACGGGUGAGUAACACGUGGAUGAUCUACCUCUUUGUGGGGGAUAACCUUGGGAAACCGGGGCUAAUACCGCAUAAGCCUGAAAAGGGAAAGGAGCAAUUCGCAGAGAGAGGAGUCCGCGGCUGAUUAGCUAGUUGGUGAGGUAACGGCCCACCAAGGCAAUGAUCGGUAGCCGGCCUGAGAGGGCACACGGCCACACUGGCACUGAAACACGGGCCAGACUCCUACGGGAGGCAGCAGUGGGGAAUCUUGCACAAUGGGGGCAACCCUGAUGCAGCGACGCCGCGUGAGCGAUGAAGCCCUUCGGGGUGUAAAGCUCUUUCGACGGGAACGAUAAUGACGGUACCCGGAGAAGAAGCUGCGGCUAACUACGUGCCAGCAGCCGCGGUAAUACGUAGGCAGCAAGCGUUGUUCGGAGUUACUGGGCGUAAAGGGUGCGUAGGCGGUCCUGUAAGUUUGGUGUGAAAUCUCCCGGCUCAACUGGGAGGGUGCGCCGAAGACUGCAGGGCUUGAGUAUGGGAGAGGUAAGCGGAAUUCCUGGUGUAGCGGUGAAAUGCGUAGAUAUCAGGAGGAACACCUGUGGUGUAGACAGCUUACUGGACCAUAACUGACGCUGAGGCACGAAAGCGUGGGUAGCAAACAGGAUUAGAUACCCUAGUAGUCC